rnacentral:rRNA from 1 species
UAGAUUAAGUUAUUAAGGGCGCACGGUGGAUGCCUUGGCACUAGAAGCCGAUGAAGGACGUUACUAACGACGAUAUGCUUUGGGGAGCUGUAAGUAAGCUUUGAUCCAGAGAUUUCCGAAUGGGGAAACCCAGCAUGAGUUAUGUCAUGUUAUCGAUAUGUGAAUACAUAGCAUAUCAGAAGGCACACCCGGAGAACUGAAACAUCUUAGUACCCGGAGGAAGAGAAAGAAAAUUCGAUUCCCUUAGUAGCGGCGAGCGAAACGGGAAGAGCCCAAACCAACAAGCUUGCUUGUUGGGGUUGUAGGACACUCUAUACGGAGUUACAAAGGACGACAUUAGACGAAUCAUCUGGAAAGAUGAAUCAAAGAAGGUAAUAAUCCUGUAGUCGAAAAUGUUGUCUCUCUUGAGUGGAUCCUGAGUACGACGGAGCACGUGAAAUUCCGUCGGAAUCUGGGAGGACCAUCUCCUAAGGCUAAAUACUCUCUAGUGACCGAUAGUGAACCAGUACCGUGAGGGAAAGGUGAAAAGCACCCCGGAAGGGGAGUGAAAUAGAACCUGAAACCGUGUGCUUACAAGUAGUCAGAGCCCGUUAAUGGGUGAUGGCGUGCCUUUUGUAGAAUGAACCGGCGAGUUACGAUUUGAUGCAAGGUUAAGCAGUAAAUGUGGAGCCGUAGCGAAAGCGAGUCUGAAUAGGGCGUUUAGUAUUUGGUCGUAGACCCGAAACCAGGUGAUCUACCCUUGGUCAGGUUGAAGUUCAGGUAACACUGAAUGGAGGACCGAACCGACUUACGUUGAAAAGUGAGCGGAUGAACUGAGGGUAGCGGAGAAAUUCCAAUCGAACCUGGAGAUAGCUGGUUCUCUCCGAAAUAGCUUUAGGGCUAGCCUCAAGUGAUGAUUAUUGGAGGUAGAGCACUGUUUGGACGAGGGGCCCCUCUCGGGUUACCGAAUUCAGACAAACUCCGAAUGCCAAUUAAUUUAACUUGGGAGUCAGAACAUGGGUGAUAAGGUCCGUGUUCGAAAGGGAAACAGCCCAGACCACCAGCUAAGGUCCCAAAAUAUAUGUUAAGUGGAAAAGGAUGUGGCGUUGCCCAGACAACUAGGAUGUUGGCUUAGAAGCAGCCAUCAUUUAAAGAGUGCGUAAUAGCUCACUAGUCGAGUGACACUGCGCCGAAAAUGUACCGGGGCUAAACAUAUUACCGAAGCUGUGGAUUGUCCUUUGGACAAUGGUAGGAGAGCGUUCUAAGGGCGUUGAAGCAUGAUCGUAAGGACAUGUGGAGCGCUUAGAAGUGAGAAUGCCGGUGUGAGUAGCGAAAGACGGGUGAGAAUCCCGUCCACCGAUUGACUAAGGUUUCCAGAGGAAGGCUCGUCCGCUCUGGGUUAGUCGGGUCCUAAGCUGAGGCCGACAGGCGUAGGCGAUGGAUAACAGGUUGAUAUUCCUGUACCACCUAUAAUCGUUUUAAUCGAUGGGGGGACGCAGUAGGAUAGGCGAAGCGUGCGAUUGGAUUGCACGUCUAAGCAGUAAGGCUGAGUAUUAGGCAAAUCCGGUACUCAUUAAGGCUGAGCUGUGAUGGGGAGAAGACAUUGUGUCUUCGAGUCGUUGAUUUCACACUGCCGAGAAAAGCCUCUAGAUAGAAAAUAGGUGCCCGUACCGCAAACCGACACAGGUAGUCAAGAUGAGAAUUCUAAGGUGAGCGAGCGAACUCUCGUUAAGGAACUCGGCAAAAUGACCCCGUAACUUCGGGAGAAGGGGUGCUCUUUAGGGUUAACGCCCAGAAGAGCCGCAGUGAAUAGGCCCAAGCGACUGUUUAUCAAAAACACAGGUCUCUGCUAAACCGUAAGGUGAUGUAUAGGGGCUGACGCCUGCCCGGUGCUGGAAGGUUAAGAGGAGUGGUUAGCUUCUGCGAAGCUACGAAUCGAAGCCCCAGUAAACGGCGGCCGUAACUAUAACGGUCCUAAGGUAGCGAAAUUCCUUGUCGGGUAAGUUCCGACCCGCACGAAAGGCGUAACGAUUUGGGCACUGUCUCAACGAGAGACUCGGUGAAAUCAUAGUACCUGUGAAGAUGCAGGUUACCCGCGACAGGACGGAAAGACCCCGUGGAGCUUUACUGUAGCCUGAUAUUGAAAUUCGGCACAGCUUGUACAGGAUAGGUAGGAGCCUUUGAAACGUGAGCGCUAGCUUACGUGGAGGCGCUGGUGGGAUACUACCCUAGCUGUGUUGGCUUUCUAACCCGCACCACUUAUCGUGGUGGGAGACAGUGUCAGGCGGGCAGUUUGACUGGGGCGGUCGCCUCCUAAAAGGUAACGGAGGCGCUCAAAGGUUCCCUCAGAAUGGUUGGAAAUCAUUCAUAGAGUGUAAAGGCAUAAGGGAGCUUGACUGCGAGACCUACAAGUCGAGCAGGGUCGAAAGACGGACUUAGUGAUCCGGUGGUUCCGCAUGGAAGGGCCAUCGCUCAACGGAUAAAAGCUACCCCGGGGAUAACAGGCUUAUCUCCCCCAAGAGUUCACAUCGACGGGGAGGUUUGGCACCUCGAUGUCGGCUCAUCGCAUCCUGGGGCUGUAGUCGGUCCCAAGGGUUGGGCUGUUCGCCCAUUAAAGCGGUACGCGAGCUGGGUUCAGAACGUCGUGAGACAGUUCGGUCCCUAUCCGUCGUGGGCGUAGGAAAUUUGAGAGGAGCUGUCCUUAGUACGAGAGGACCGGGAUGGACAUACCUCUGGUGUACCAGUUGUCGUGCCAACGGCAUAGCUGGGUAGCUAUGUGUGGACGGGAUAAGUGCUGAAAGCAUCUAAGCAUGAAGCCCCCCUCAAGAUGAGAUUUCCCAACUUCGGUUAUAAGAUCCCUCAAAGAUGAUGAGGUUAAUAGGUUCGAGGUGGAAGCAUGGUGACAUGUGGAGCUGACGAAUACUAAUCGAUCGAAGACUUAAUCAA